AGAGUUUGAUCCUGGCUCAGAUUGARCGCUGGCGGCAGGCCUAACACAUGCAAGUCGAGCGGUAGAGAGAAGCUUGCUUCUCUUGAGAGCGGCGGACGGGUGAGUAAUGCCUAGGAAUCUGCCUGGUAGUGGGGGAUAACGUUCGGAAACGGACGCUAAUACCGCAUACGUCCUACGGGAGAAAGCAGGGGACCUUCGGGCCUUGCGCUAUCAGAUGAGCCUAGGUCGGAUUAGCUAGUUGGUGAGGUAAUGGCUCACCAAGGCGACGAUCCGUAACUGGUCUGAGAGGAUGAUCAGUCACACUGGAACUGAGACACGGUCCAGACUCCUACGGGAGGCAGCAGUGGGGAAUAUUGGACAAUGGGCGAAAGCCUGAUCCAGCCAUGCCGCGUGUGUGAAGAAGGUCUUCGGAUUGUAAAGCACUUUAAGUUGGGAGGAAGGGCAGUUACCUAAUACGUGAUUGUUUUGACGUUACCGACAGAAUAAGCACCGGCUAACUCUGUGCCAGCAGCCGCGGUAAU
rnacentral:rRNA from 1 species